ensembl:rRNA 5S_rRNA 5S ribosomal RNA
GCCUGCAGCCAUACCACCUUGUGCUGUGAUCUUAAACGCUAAGGCAGGUUGGGCUGCUUAGUAUUUGGAGGGGAGACCUCCAAGCAAGCUUACCACUGCAGGAA